UGAGGAAUAUUGGGCAAUGCCCGCAAGGGUGACCCAGCAACGCCGCGUGGAGGAUGAAUGUCGUAAGAUUGUAAACUCCUGUUAGAGGGGAAGAAUAGUACCGGUUGGACCGGUAUAUGACUGUACCCUCAGAGAAAGCCCCGGCUAACUACGUGCCAGCAGCCGCGGUAAUACGUAGGGGGCAAGCGUUGUCCGGAUUUACUGGGUGUAAAGGGCGCGCAGGCGGGAUAAAAAGUCAGUGGUGAAAUCCUACAGCUUAACUGUAGAACUGCCUUUGAUACUUUUAUUCUUGACUUCGGGAGAGAGAGACGGAAUUCCAGGUGUAGUGGUGAAAUGCGUAGAUAUCUGGAAGAACACCGGUUGCGAAGGCGGUCUCUUGGUCCGACACUGACGCUGAGGCGCGAAAGCGUGGGGAGCAAACA
rnacentral:rRNA from 1 species